GGGUUGUGAGGUUAAGCGACUAAGCGUACACGGUGGAUGCCCUGGCAGUCAGAGGCGAUGAAGGACGUGCUAAUCUGCGAUAAGCGUCGGUAAGGUGAUAUGAACCGUUAUAACCGGCGAUUUCCGAAUGGGGAAACCCAGUGUGAUUCGUCACACUAUCAUUAACUGAAUCCAUAGGUUAAUGAGGCGAACCGGGGGAACUGAAACAUCUAAGUACCCCGAGGAAAAGAAAUCAACCGAGAUUCCCCCAGUAGCGGCGAGCGAACGGGGAGGAGCCCAGAGCCUGAAUCAGUGUGUGUGUUAGUGGAAGCGUCUGGAAAGGCGCGCGAUACAGGGUGACAGCCCCGUACACAAAAAUGCACAUACUGUGAGCUCGAUGAGUAGGGCGGGACACGUGGUAUCCUGUCUGAAUAUGGGGGGACCAUCCUCCAAGGCUAAAUACUCCUGACUGACCGAUAGUGAACCAGUACCGUGAGGGAAAGGCGAAAAGAACCCCGGCGAGGGGAGUGAAAAAGAACCUGAAACCGUGUACGUACAAGCAGUGGGAGCCUCUUUUAUGGGGUGACUGCGUACCUUUUGUAUAAUGGGUCAGCGACUUAUAUUCUGUAGCAAGGUUAACCGAAUAGGGGAGCCGAAGGGAAACCGAGUCUUAACUGGGCGUUAAGUUGCAGGGUAUAGACCCGAAACCCGGUGAUCUAGCCAUGGGCAGGUUGAAGGUUGGGUAACACUAACUGGAGGACCGAACCGACUAAUGUUGAAAAAUUAGCGGAUGACUUGUGGCUGGGGGUGAAAGGCCAAUCAAACCGGGAGAUAGCUGGUUCUCCCCGAAAGCUAUUUAGGUAGCGCCUCGUGAAUUCAUCUCCGGGGGUAGAGCACUGUUUCGGCAAGGGGGUCAUCCCGACUUACCAACCCGAUGCAAACUGCGAAUACCGGAGAAUGUUAUCACGGGAGACACACGGCGGGUGCUAACGUCCGUCGUGAAGAGGGAAACAACCCAGACCGCCAGCUAAGGUCCCAAAGUCAUGGUUAAGUGGGAAACGAUGUGGGAAGGCCCAGACAGCCAGGAUGUUGGCUUAGAAGCAGCCAUCAUUUAAAGAAAGCGUAAUAGCUCACUGGUCGAGUCGGCCUGCGCGGAAGAUGUAACGGGGCUAAACCAUGCACCGAAGCUGCGGCAGCGACACUAUGUGUUGUUGGGUAGGGGAGCGUUCUGUAAGCCUGUGAAGGUGUGCUGUGAGGCAUGCUGGAGGUAUCAGAAGUGCGAAUGCUGACAUAAGUAACGAUAAAGCGGGUGAAAAGCCCGCUCGCCGGAAGACCAAGGGUUCCUGUCCAACGUUAAUCGGGGCAGGGUGAGUCGACCCCUAAGGCGAGGCCGAAAGGCGUAGUCGAUGGGAAACAGGUUAAUAUUCCUGUACUUGGUGUUACUGCGAAGGGGGGACGGAGAAGGCUAUGUUGGCCGGGCGACGGUUGUCCCGGUUUAAGCGUGUAGGCUGGUUUUCCAGGCAAAUCCGGAAAAUCAAGGCUGAGGCGUGAUGACGAGGCACUACGGUGCUGAAGCAACAAAUGCCCUGCUUCCAGGAAAAGCCUCUAAGCAUCAGGUAACAUCAAAUCGUACCCCAAACCGACACAGGUGGUCAGGUAGAGAAUACCAAGGCGCUUGAGAGAACUCGGGUGAAGGAACUAGGCAAAAUGGUGCCGUAACUUCGGGAGAAGGCACGCUGAUAUGUAGGUGAAGCGACUUGCUCGUGGAGCUGAAAUCAGUCGAAGAUACCAGCUGGCUGCAACUGUUUAUUAAAAACACAGCACUGUGCAAACACGAAAGUGGACGUAUACGGUGUGACGCCUGCCCGGUGCCGGAAGGUUAAUUGAUGGGGUCAGCGCAAGCGAAGCUCUUGAUCGAAGCCCCGGUAAACGGCGGCCGUAACUAUAACGGUCCUAAGGUAGCGAAAUUCCUUGUCGGGUAAGUUCCGACCUGCACGAAUGGCGUAAUGAUGGCCAGGCUGUCUCCACCCGAGACUCAGUGAAAUUGAACUCGCUGUGAAGAUGCAGUGUACCCGCGGCAAGACGGAAAGACCCCGUGAACCUUUACUAUAGCUUGACACUGAACAUUGAGCCUUGAUGUGUAGGAUAGGUGGGAGGCUUAGAAGUGUGGACGCCAGUCUGCAUGGAGCCGACCUUGAAAUACCACCCUUUAAUGUUUGAUGUUCUAACGUUGACCCGUGAUCCGGGUUGCGGACAGUGUCUGGUGGGUAGUUUGACUGGGGCGGUCUCCUCCUAAAGAGUAACGGAGGAGCACGAAGGUUGGCUAAUCCUGGUCGGACAUCAGGAGGUUAGUGCAAUGGCAUAAGCCAGCUUGACUGCGAGCGUGACGGCGCGAGCAGGUGCGAAAGCAGGUCAUAGUGAUCCGGUGGUUCUGAAUGGAAGGGCCAUCGCUCAACGGAUAAAAGGUACUCCGGGGAUAACAGGCUGAUACCGCCCAAGAGUUCAUAUCGACGGCGGUGUUUGGCACCUCGAUGUCGGCUCAUCACAUCCUGGGGCUGAAGUAGGUCCCAAGGGUAUGGCUGUUCGCCAUUUAAAGUGGUACGCGAGCUGGGUUUAGAACGUCGUGAGACAGUUCGGUCCCUAUCUGCCGUGGGCGCUGGAGAACUGAGGGGGGCUGCUCCUAGUACGAGAGGACCGGAGUGGACGCAUCACUGGUGUUCGGGUUGUCAUGCCAAUGGCACUGCCCGGUAGCUAAAUGCGGAAGAGAUAAGUGCUGAAAGCAUCUAAGCACGAAACUUGCCCCGAGAUGAGUUCUCCCUGACUCCUUGAGAGUCCUGAAGGAACGUUGAAGACGACGACGUUGAUAGGCCGGGUGUGUAAGCGCAGCGAUGCGUUGAGCUAACCGGUACUAAUGAACCGUGAGGCUUAACCUUACAACGCCGAAG
rnacentral:rRNA from 1 species